rnacentral:sRNA from 1 species
GAUCCCUCUUUCGCGCGUUCCGAGGGGUGCGGAACUUACUUGUUUCAAAUUUCUUGGGCGAUGACUUCGAUUUUGCGAAACCCCCCCCAAAAAGCAGUGAAGAUAUAAAACGAGAGUUUAUAAUAGUUAUACAGCUCAUGAUAUUCUAGCAAGCGUUUCGGAUGUGUCUGUGACAAUCACAUUCUUUCCCCUCCCUAUUUCUCUCUUAAAUCAUUCCAACUCCAAAAUGGACACUCAUUCUUCCACCCUGGACAUGGAUGUCGUUGAGCUUGUGCUGCCCAAAUAUGUGUAUACAUGUAACUUGAUUUCAGAUUCGAUAAUUUGUCAGUUAUUCUCUUGUACUGUACAGUACCUUGCUAUUCACUAUUUCUAUUUAUACAUAUCAGUCCAUUAAGUUUAUUAGAGUGCUGUAUAUUGUGACAAUAUCUCCAUACAACUUCUCUUGCAUCUUGACUUAGCUAAUGUUGUCGCAAUCAGCAUAUUAUCUAGGUGUAAAUCUAGCUCGAAUUUCAUAGGACGGAUUUAUUUUCCAAACGCCCUCACUGCACAUGAGUCGGAGAAUGUGGAGGGAUAAGGUAGGGUUUCCGAAAGUGACAGUCGCAUAAUGGUUUCGAUCAUAUACCCUCCAAGUGAUCACGAAACUUUCGGUGAUCCAUGUUCACAGCGCGUGACUGAUCGGAAUUUAAUAAUUAAAGGAUAACAACACCCGUAACCACCCAGGGUUAAUAUAUCGAUACUCCACUGGCUUCUCCUGGUAUCGUGGCUCAAGACUGCCCACCAGGGCGCCAAUGUUACUUGGCUCACCCCACAUUAAGGCAGUUAUUAUAAAAGGAAAUAUGCCAGAUCUAUAGACUGAUCAGUGAUUCCCUAUUGACACAGAGGUUCGAUUGGCUUCCGCGUAUGCAAUGUUGUAUCGCUAUAUAAAAUCGCGGUUGAUCAGAGACAUAUCAAAUACAACCACGGUAAUCGGAUAACGGGCGGGAACAGGUACGGAAAUAUGAUACUCACGGCUGACGGAUAUCAGUCCAAUUCACCAAUAUAAUCACAUUGCUCUGGCAAAGACCGGCCUCUCUGCACCACCUUUCAUUGAUACCGCCGAGAAUCCAACAAUCUCACCCGCUGGUACCGCCAGACUAGGUAGCCUGUGACGAUCCCUAGAGCAGCUGUACCUCCGAAAACGAUCCCAAGAAUGGAGCCAAUAGACAGCCCAGAUCCGCUCGGUGAACCGCUGUCGUUAUCGCCAGGGCCUGGAGAGGAAUUAGUAGGUCCGGCAGAGGCAGUUGGUAAAGGAAUUGUGGCAAUCGGCGUGGCAAUCUGGGAAACCAGACUGGUAAGUUGUGCGGAAUUAAUGAAGGACGAGCAAGGCGCGAAAUCCUAAGUUGCAAGAUACGAGUGUGAGCAA